UACGUAGGUGGCAAGCGUUAUCCGGAAUUAUUGGGCGUAAAGCGCGCGCAGGCGGUUUCUUAAGUCUGAUGUGAAAGCCCACGGCUCAACCGUGGAGGGUCAUUGGAAACUGGGGAACUUGAGUGCAGAGGAGAAAAGCGGAAUUCCACGUGUAGCGGUGAAAUGCGUAGAGAUGUGGAGGAACACCAAUGGCGAAGGCGGCUUUUUGGUCUGUAACUGACGCUGAGGCGCGAAAGCGUGGGGAGCAAACAGG
rnacentral:rRNA from 1 species